UACCAGCUCUCCGAGUGGUGUGAUGUUUAUUGGGCCUAAAGCAUCCGUAGCUGGCUGGGCAAGUCCCCUGUUAAAUCCACCGAUUCAAUCGUUGGUGUACGGGGGAUACUGUUCGGCUAGGGGACGGGAGAGGCCGACGGUAUUUUCGGGGUAGGGGUGAAAUCCUAUAAUCCCGGGAAGACCACCAGUGGCGAAGGCUGUCGGCUAGAACGCGCCCAACGGUGAGGGAUGAAAGCUGGGGGAGCGAACCGGAUUAGAUACCCGGGUAGUCCCAGCUGUAAACGAUGCAGGCUAGGUGUUUGGGCGGCCACGUGCCGCUCUAGUGCCGCAAAGAAGUUGUUAAGCCUGCCGCCUGGGGAGUACGGCCGCAAGGCUGAAACUUAAAGGAAUUGGCGGGGAGCACCACAAGGGGUGAAGCUUGCGGUUU
rnacentral:rRNA from 1 species